CUGCUUGUAGUUCUUUGUGGAAAUCCUUAAAGCCAAAGGAACCUUAAAGGAGGAUAUUAGAGAAGCAAUCUUCAGCUCAAUCAAAUCCAUUCUGUCCAUCAAUCGAUCGCUGCUGGUCCAUUUGGAAAACGGCUACAUUGGGAAAGGCCUGGAAACGUUUUGCUCACAGUUGCAUCACUACAACAGCUAUGUGGACAAUAUCUACAAUGCUAACAAAGUGCUGGGGAUCCAGCUAAAGAAAAACAAAGCCUUCCGGCGCUUUAAGACGCUCCAAGAGGCUCGACCGCAGUUUGACAACCAGAAGCUGGAGGACUUACUUCAGAUGCCAGUUCAGCGAAUUCAGCAGUAA